rnacentral:rRNA from 1 species
GACGAACGCUGGCGGCGUGCCUAACACAUGCAAGUCGAACGGAGUGAAGCCCUUCGGGACUUUACUUAGUGGCGAACGGGUGAGUAACGCGUGAGGAACCUGCCUUUCAGUGGGGGACAACAGUUGGAAACGACUGCUAAUACCGCAUGACGCUUCUUGGGGGCAUCCCCGGGAAGCCAAAGAUUUAUUGCUGAAAGAUGGCCUCGCGUCUGAUUAGCUGGUUGGUGAGGUAACGGCCCACCAAGGCGACGAUCAGUAGCCGGCCUGAGAGGGUGAACGGCCACAUUGGGACUGAGACACGGCCCAAACUCCUACGGGAGGCAGCAGUGGGGAAUAUUGCACAAUGGGGGAAACCCUGAUGCAGCGACGCCGCGUGAGUGAGGAAGUAUUUCGGUAUGUAAAACUCUAUCAGCAGGGAAGAUAAUGACGGUACCUGACUAAGAAGCACCGGCUAAAAUACGUGCCAGCAGCCGCGG